GCUGAGACCGGUACGUAUCGUUUACAACGCGACACUAAUGUGUAAAGUUUGUAAUUUAAGUAAUCUGUAAGUUAUUUAAAAUGUGUCAUGUGUUUCAUACGAUCAUAGUAGUCGAGUUGCUUCAUUCUUUUAUGGUUCAUUUUCAUUUUUGAGUUAGUUCAGAGUGUUACAGCAAGCUAGCAAACAUGUAUUAAGUUUGCUAGCUUGCUUGUGUAAGUGCAUAGGUGUCCGUCAUUUUGUGUCCUGAAGAAUACCUUCUGAACUGUGUAUUUUUUUUGUUAGGCAUGUGACCAAAUGAUGAAUGUUUUCUGUUCUUUUGCUGAACCUCUGAACAGAACAAGACCCAGCUUGGACAGAUGGGGGUGCAUUUGAUAACGCAGCUGGACUAUAUCCAAUCCUGUCUGGAACAGGGAAGUUCAAAGUGGAUGUCGAGUCUGAGGACUAUAACAAAGAAACUCCAAAGAGGGUGCAGGUAAUGGACUGCUACACUCAAAAAGAUGAGGCUCUCAGGGGAAUUGGAAAGAUAAGCCCAGGGACCCUGUGUUGUGUCUAAAACUGCAUAAUAGUUUAGCUAGCAGUACUUAGGUUGUCCAUUAGAUAUCCCUACCAGCAUAGGUCUAUAGCAGGGGUUGGCAACCUUUACUUACUUAUUUUGCCCCCUCUUCCCCCAAAUAAAAUGUGUCUGGAGCCGCAAAGCUAAUAAAGUUUAAUAUAAAGUUAUACUAUACUAAACUAUAGUUUGCUGCAUUUACGAAAUUAUAGAACGACAAUAAAGAAAACUCUUGACAUAC